rnacentral:rRNA from 1 species
AUUGAACGCUGGCGGCAGGCCUAACACAUGCAAGUCGAGCGGAUGACGGGAGCUUGCUCCUUGAUUCAGCGGCGGACGGGUGAGUAAUGCCUAGGAAUCUGCCUGGUAGUGGGGGACAACGUUUCGAAAGGAACGCUAAUACCGCAUACGUCCUACGGGAGAAAGCAGGGGACCGUCGGGCCUUGCGCUAUCAGAUGAGCCUAGGUCGGAUUAGCUAGUAGGUGAGGUAGUGGAUCACCUAGGCGACGAUCCGUAACUGGUCUGAGAGGAUGAUCAGUCACACUGGAACUGAGACACGGUCCAGACUCCUACGGGAGGCAGCAGUGGGGAAUAUUGGACAAUGGGCGAAAGCCUGAUCCAGCCAUGCCGCGUGUGUGAAGAAGGUCUUCGGAUUGUAAAGCACUUUAAGUUGGGAGGAAGGGCAGUAAGUUAAUACCUUGCUGUUUUGACGUUACCGACAGAAUAAGCACCGGCUAACUCUGUGCCAGCAGCCGCAGUAA